AACGAACGCUGGCGGCAGGCCUAACACAUGCAAGUCGAGCGGACCUUUCGGGGUCAGCGGCGGACGGGUGAGUAACGCGUGGGAAUAUGCCCUUCUCUACGGAAUAGUCCUGGGAAACUGGGGGUAAUACCGUAUACGCCCUUUGGGGGAAAGAUUUAUCGGGGAAGGAUUAGCCCGCGUUGGAUUAGGUAGUUGGUGGGGUAAUGGCCUACCAAGCCGACGAUCCAUAGCUGGUUUGAGAGGAUGAUCAGCCACACUGGGACUGAGACACGGCCCAGACUCCUAUGGGAGGCAGCAGUGGGGAAUCUUAGACAAUGGGGGCAACCCUGAUCUAGCCAUGCCGCGUGAGUGAUGAAGGCCUUAGGGUUGUAAAGCUCUUUCAGCUGGGAAGAUAAUGACGGUACCAGCAGAAGAAGCCCCGGCUAACUCCGUG
rnacentral:rRNA from 1 species